rnacentral:rRNA from 1 species
UGCCAGACUCCUACGGGAGGCAGCAGUGGGGAAUAUUGCACAAUGGGGGAAACCCUGAUGCAGCGACGCCGCGUGAGCGAUGAAGUAUUUCGGUAUGUAAAGCUCUAUCAGCAGGGAAGAAGAUGACGGUACCUGACUAAGAAGCCCCGGCUAACUACGUGCCAGCAGCCGCGGUAAUACGUAGGGGGCAAGCGUUAUCCGGAUUUACUGGGUGUAAAGGGAGCGUAGACGGCGAUGCAAGCCAGAUGUGAAAGCCCGGGGCUCAACCCCGGGACUGCAUUUGGAACUGUGUGGCUGGAGUGUCGGAGAGGCAGGCGGAAUUCCUGGUGUAGCGGUGAAAUGCGUAGAUAUCAGGAGGAACACCGGUGGCGAAGGCGGCCUGCUGGACUGCAACUGACGUUGAGGCCCGAAAGCGUGGGGAGCAAACAGGAUUAGAUACCCUAGUA